rnacentral:rRNA from 1 species
AAUAGAUACCCCGGUAGUCCUAGCCGUAAACGAUACUCGCUAGGUGUCGGCCACGGUGCGACCGUUGUCGGUGCCGUAGGGAAGCCGUGAAGCGAGCCACCUGGGAAGUACGGCCGCAAGGCUGAAACUUAAAGGAAUUGGCGGGGGGAGCACCACGAACGGGUGGAGCUUGCGGUUUAAUUGGAUUCAACGCCGGAAAUCUUACCGGGACCGACAGCAAUAUGAAGGCCAGGCUGAAGACUUUGCCGGAUUAGCUGAGAGGUGGUGCAUGGCCGUCGUCAGUUCGUACUGUGAAGCAUCCUGUUAAGUCAGGCAACGAGCGAGACCCACGCCCACAGUUGCCAGCGUACUCUCUGGAGUGACGGGUACACUGUGGGGACCGCCGCUGCUAAAGCGGAGGAAGGAAUGGGCAACGGUAGGUCAGUAUGCCCCGAAUAUCCCGGGCUACACGCGAGCUACAAUGGUUGGUACAAUGGGUAUCUACCCCGAAAGGGGACGGGAAUCUCCUAAAACCAAUCUUAGUUCGGAUUGAGGGCUGCAACUCGCCCUCA